UGCUCGGGUAGAAAGAUUUGACUCUGUGUU
rnacentral:piRNA from 1 species